AUGAUCCAUCCAAAGAAGCUUGCUCAGCUUGCCAAGAAGUGGCAGAGGAAGGUCGCAGCCGGAGCCGGUGGCCAGCAAGCCGAUGAGUGCUGCAGCACGGCAUCCAUCGCUGACAAGGGCCAUUGCGUGGUGUACACCGCCGACGGAGCGCGGUUUGAGGUCCCGCUGGCAUACCUCGGCACGACGGUUUUUGGUGAACUCCUGAGGAUGGCUGGGGAGGAGUUUGGCUUCGCGAGCAGCGAGGGAGGCAGGAUCAUGCUGCCCUGUGAUGCCACGGUUAUGGAGUAUGUCUUGUGCCUGGUCAGAAGAGAUGCCUCCCAGGAGGUUGAGAGAGCGUUCUUGAGCUCCAUUGCUGGGCAUUGUCACAACCAAGAUGCAUCGAUGGGACUCACCCAUCAAUUUUCUCUUUGUACGUAG
rnacentral:rRNA from 1 species